ACGCCCCGCAAGGGGAGUGGCAGACGGGUGAGUAACGCGUGGGAACAUACCCUUUCCUGCGGAAUAGCUCCGGGAAACUGGAAUUAAUACCGCAUACGCCCUACGGGGGAAAGAUUUAUCGGGGAAGGAUUGGCCCGCGUUGGAUUAGCUAGUUGGUGGGGUAAAGGCCUACCAAGGCGACGAUCCAUAGCUGGUCUGAGAGGAUGAUCAGCCACAUUGGGACUGAGACACGGCCCAAACUCCUACGGGAGGCUGCAGUGGGGAAUAUUGGACAAUGGGCGCAAGCCUGAUCCAGCCAUGCCGCGUGAGUGAUGAAGGCCUUAGGGUUGUAAAGCUCUUUCACCGGAGAAGAUAAUGACGGUAUCCGGAGAAGAAGCCCCGGCUAAC
rnacentral:rRNA from 1 species